AGUGAACGCUGGCGGUAGGCCUAACACAUGCAAGUCGAACGGCAGCACAGAGGAGCUUGCUCCUUGGGUGGCGAGUGGCGGACGGGUGAGGAAUACAUCGGAAUCUACUCUGUCGUGGGGGAUAACGUAGGGAAACUUACGCUAAUACCGCAUACGACCUACGGGUGAAAGCAGGGGAUCUUCGGACCUUGCGCGAUUGAAUGAGCCGAUGUCGGAUUAGCUAGUUGGCGGGGUAAAGGCCCACCAAGGCGACGAUCCGUAGCUGGUCAGAGGGGAUGAUCAGCCACACUGGAACUGAGACACGGUCCAGACUCCUACGGGAGGCAGCAGUGGGGAAUAUUGGACAAUGGGCGCAAGCCUGAUCCAGCCAUACCGCGUGGGUGAAGAAGGCCUUCGGGUUGUAAAGCCCUUUUGUUGGGAAAGAAAUCCAGCCGGCUAAUACCUGGUUGGGAUGACGGUACCCAAAGAAUAAGCACCGGCUAACUUCGUGCCAGCAGCCGCAGUAA
rnacentral:rRNA from 1 species